rnacentral:lncRNA from 1 species
CAAUGUCAGGAGAGUGGUGCUCACCCACUAGCCGUGCUGCCUGCACUGACAUACAUCAUUUGCUUCUUUGCCAGCGUGCUGCUGCAUGGUAACAUCUGGACUUGUUUCCUGACCCCUCAGCUGCUCAGCUGCUUACAAGUUCCCAGAUCUACUUGUCGAAAACCGUCCUGUGUCAUGCUUGGGCUUUCUUCACCGAACCUGUGAACAUGGGAGAUUGUUUCCCUCCAGUGCCAUUAUGGAUAUGUUUUUCAUCCUGGA